UAAAAAUCUUUAUUUAAUCUGCUACAAAUGUCAGUUGUUUCUUGCAUGCAUAGUUUCACACAUUUAAGACAAGUAAAAACACAAAGUAAGAUUUCCCUUUGGAAGAAUGUCUCAACAUUAUAACAUGCAUAAGCCCCCCCAUGUCCAUUUAUGAACAGUCAACCGAGAAUUUAGCUGCCCCAUCAACUUGGAAGGGCAUUUCAAGUAGCCAUUUUAAAACAUAUAAUCCAAUGGAUUGUACUUCUAAAACACAAUGUACACACUUAAUACACUGAAUAAGACUCAUGUUUUUCUUGUAAACUUUCUUUGGCUUUUUCCAUAAAGAAGCAAAUGCGGCUUCUUCACAAGUAUACAUAAUCAUGGCAGAAGGGUAAAAAAAGAAAGAUAUUAGAGUUUAUGAUAGGGGCAGUUUAGUGGAUGAGGUUGAUUGUUCAAUUCAUCUUGAGGUAUUAAAGUUAAAUCACUUCAGGAUUGUUUAGACUCACGAAACCCCAAUAAAACAGGCAAAGUUCAUGAAGCUCUCUGAAAAAAUUAAAGCAUAAACAGAAUUUCUCUUUCAUUUACAGUUUAGUUUUAACGCUCUGUGGUAUCUGUCAAACUUCGUGAAUUCCUGCAAGCAAAAUUCUGAAUAAAUAAUACAUGUAAUAAAAAAGGCAUAUCGCAGUAGUCAAGAUUAGAAACUCACUGUAACUCAAGAGAAUUUCCUUCGAGAUUUUUUUGCAGUUGAUGCACACUGAACAUGACAUUUAUCACAGUAAGAUAGGCAUAAUGUUAUUAAAAUCAGCAGAACUGCAUAAGUGCUACAUUGUACAUAAUUACAAAACAAAUAUUGGCUUUCCUUAACCAGGGUAUGACCAUAGUCUUAGGGGACAUUACACUGACAGUAGGUUGGAAAGAGACAACAUUAUGCACAAAACACAAACACAAACACACAUCUUUGAUAGAAUCACAUCAAAUAUUUUCAUAUUGCCAUUUUAUGUUUGUGCUUUAGAUGUCCUCUGCUUUAGCAAAAAGUGUGCUGUGUUAGUUCAGAUGUUUGCUGGCUUACAGCUGUAGUUAAAAAUGUGUUUUUUAAAAUGCUACAUUUAUUAACAGUGUUAUAAACUCCCCUGCCUUUCUUGGUCUGGUGGGAGGCGGGGCUUAGCUUCCACCUACCAGACCACACCUGAUCCCAUUUAAGGCCUGUAAUCAGCCCUGCUCAGUCUCUCCCGUGUCUGUAGCAUCAAGCUGAUCCCCGUGUGCUCUCUUCACAAGCUGAAUAUCGAUGCAUUAUUUGACCUUGAAAUCAUCAUCACCUUCAUCAUCAUCACCACCAUCAUCAUCAUCACCACCAUCAGCUACAUCAACUGUCAACUGCAUGUGAAGCAAAUAAAUGGUUAAACUGCUCUCAUCGUGGGUCCUCAUACUUUGACUGGUAUGCCAAUGCAGAGGCACUUCAGGCAACCCUCCCUAAAAUGACAGCCUAGUUUUUACAUGGUCCUUUGAGCCGGAGUGCUUAGGCAUUGGAUAUGGACCCGAGAGAGAAGCAGGAUGAAGAGGGACUUUGGCGGGGAGUACGGAACAGAUAUGCACCCUCAUAUCUGCAGCACUAUGGAGCUUCUUACCCUCCCCCAUCCACCCAAGAACAUAACAUUAAAGAAAUCCGCAAUAUGGUCAUGCAGCUUCUUGCUAGGCAGGACGCUUUACAGAGGCAACAAAGCUCAUAUAUAACUUGUCCCUCAAGCUGUAGUGGUGAAUAUGACACAGAUUGUGAAGAUAAUGUUCUACCCCAAACCCAGAUAUGUACACACAGUGCAUAUCAACUGAUGCUCCAAGUGCCCCCCAUGUCCAGUCGGCCCCCCGCUGGACUGAUGCUCCAAGUGCCCCUCCAGUCCAGUCAGCCCCUCGCUCGACUGGAGCGUCGGGCACCUGGUAUUGGGGGAGACCCACAAGGGGACGUGGGGGAUACUCUUGGGGCACCUGUAACUGGGGAGGACCCACAAGGGGAUGUAGGGUGGACGCUUGAGGCACCUGGUACUGGGGGAGACCAACAAGGGGAUGUGGGGGAGGAGCUUGAGGCACCAGGAACUGGGGAGGACCCACAUGGGGUUGUGGGGUAGGAGCUUGAGGUGCCAGGAACUGGGGAGGACCCACAUGGGGAUGUGGGAGAGGAGCAGUUAAUCUCUUUUUUAACAAUAAUGUCUGAGUGACACAGAAUUGACAACAAACAGUGUUUGAGCAUCCCGCCCAAACAUCCAGUUGUACCAUUGAGUCAACAUCAGCAUUAAAGAUGUUGGUAUUUUUAAGGAAAAUGUGUUUUUUAAAUAAACUUUGUAAAAGUUA